rnacentral:rRNA from 1 species
AGGACGAACGCUGGCGGUGUGCUUCACACAUGCAAGUCGAACGAGGUAGCAAUACCUAGUGGCGGACGGGUGAGUAACGCGUGGGAAUCUGCCUUAAGAUGGGGAGUAACGGGCCGAAAGGCUCGCUAAUACCGCAUAUGCCGAAAGGUGAAGGAGUAAUCCGUCUUAAGAUGAGCCCGCGUCCGAUUAGCUAGUUGGUAGGGUAAAGGCCUACCAAGGCGACGAUCGGUAGCUGGUCUGAGAGGAUGAUCAGCCACAAUGGGACUGAGACACGGCCCAGACUCCUACGGGAGGCAGCAGUAGGGAAUCUUGCGCAAUGGGCGAAAGCCUGACGCAGCCAUGCCGCGUGAAUGAUGAAGGUCUUAGGAUUGUAAAAUUCUUUCACCGGGGACGAUAAUGACGGUACCCGGAGAAGAAGCCCCGGCUAACUUCGUG